rnacentral:rRNA from 1 species
ACGAACGCUGGCGGCGUGCUUAACACAUGCAAGUCGAGCGGUAAGGCCCUUUCGGGGGUACACGAGCGGCGAACGGGUGAGUAACACGUGGGUGACCUGCCCUUAGCUCUGGGAUAAGCCUGGGAAACUGGGUCUAAUACCGGAUAUGACUCCAUAACGCAUGUUGUGGGGUGGAAAGCCUUGUGCGGCUAGGGAUGGGCCCGCGGCCUAUCAGCUUGUUGGUGGGGUNAUGGCCACCAAGGCGACGACGGGUAGCCGGCCUGAGAGGGCGACCGGCCACACUGGGACUGAGACACGGCCCAGACUCCUACGGGAGGCAGCAGUGGGGAAUCUUGCGCAAUGGGCGAAAGCCUGACGCAGCGACGCCG